AGCUUCAUAGCUCAGUAGGUAGAGCUAUAGCGCUUGUAUCGGAAUCGUAGGUCAUGGGUUCGAAUCCCGUUGGAGCAG